CCUUUGCUCUCAAGGUUAAGGUGGAUGAACAACUGGACAAGCUGAUCGCCCAAGGAGUUUUGGAGCCGGUUGACCACGCCAAGUGGGAAACCCCCAUCAUCACGCCUGUCAAGCCAGACGGGUCGGUGAGAAUCUGCACUGACUACAAGUGCACGAUCAACAAGGCACUUCAGCAGCACGCUUAUCCGGUUCCUGUUGUCCAACACCUGCUGCAUUCUCUGGGUGAGGGUAAGGUCUUCGCUAAGCUGGACCUUGCCCAAGCCUAUCAACAACUGCCCGUCGAUGAUGCCACUGCUGAAGCCCAGACAAUCGUCACCCACCGAGGGGCAUUCCGUUGCCGCCAGUUGCAGUCCGGGGUGAGUGUGGCUCCUGGCAUCUUCCAAAGCCUUAUGGAGCGUCUCCUGCAAGGGCUUCCGGGCGUGGUACCAUAUUUUGAUGACGUCUUGGUGUCCGCAGACUCACACCAGCAGCUGUUUGAGCACCUCCGCACCGUGCUGACCAGGUUCCAGGACCUUUAUGGUAGUGGUGGACGCCUAUUCCAAAUGGCUGGAGGUGGCCCUGAUGCCCUCCACCACUACCGAGGCCGUCAUCCGGGUGCUGCGAGGCCUCUUUGCGAUGCAUGGGUGUCCUGAUGUCCUUGUCUCCAACAACGGACCACAGUUCAUGUCAGGCACUUUUGAGCGGUAUCUUUUGGGACUUGGGCAUCCGCCAUGCCCUAACGGCACCAUUUCACCCAUCCAGCAACGGGCAAGCAGAGAGAAUGGUGUGCUCGGCAAAAGAGGCACUGGCGUGCCUGGACAGGAGAGACUGGCAUGAGCGGGUCGCCAAAUACUUGUUCGUACAACACAUCACCCCUCAUGCGGCCACAGGAUGGAGUCCUGCCGAACUGCUUAUGGGCCACCGCCUCAGGUCCCCGCUCGACCGGCUGCACCCAGACUUUGCCGUGGCCGAACCCCCAGGUCUUUGCCCGGAACUUUGUGGGGGACAUUCCUUGGGUGCCAGCCACAGUAGUGGGAGUCACUGGACCUCGCUCGUACCAGGUGGCACUCGAAGACGGACGCUUGUGGCGUCGGCACAUAGACCAGCUUAGGCACAGGGUUGGGGACUUGGACACUACCGUGGUGCCCCCAACUGCGCUCGUAGCUCCGGAGCAGACACUUACAGAUGGUGAGGCUCCACUACACCUCUCUUGCAAACUGCCGGCGUGGAGCUGAACCAAGCCACUUCAGAGGGUCUGCCAGACUUACCACAGAGUCAGACCACUGCCCGUCCCUGACAUUCCGCCAACUCCACUUGCGGAGCUUCCACCCACAGCAGCGGAUCCAGGGGACUUGGUUUCAACGCCACCUAGGGUCGCACCAAAGCCUCAGCAAGAAUUGGGUGGC
rnacentral:lncRNA from 1 species